GGCCCACGAAUUAUAUUGUGUCGAUGGUUUUGGAAAUAUGUUUAGGGUAGAAUAAGUUUAUUUUCUCUUUUGGAAUAUUCUUUUGUUUAUUUAUUAAAGAUUAAAAAAAGGAAUGGCAUGAAAAUGUAAUUUUUUCAAAAAACAAAGGCAGGGAAUCAGGGAUCCUAAAAGGGAUUCUGCUUUAAUAGUAUACUAGAUUUUGACCCGCGCUUUGAAAGCGCGGGAUCGUUUUUUUUUAAUUUCAUUUAAAUUAAUAAAUAUUUGUCCAAUCUAUAUUUUAAUAGAUUUUAUAUUUGUUUAUAGUCAAUUAAUAAAUUUAGUGCUGCUUAUUUAUAAUAAGAAGUAUUCUGCUUUAAUAGUAUAGAUAAACUAGAUUUAAUAAUAUUUUUAAUUUACAAAAAUUUAUUUAGUAAAAAAUAUAAUUUAUAAACAGUUUAUCUUAUGUUUUGUAUAAUAUUAUCUAUUCAAAAACUUUUGGAUACUGAAUAUAAUCAUUAUCACUGUUCUAUACAAAUGUUUUUAAAAAUAUUUUAAAAUUGAUG
rnacentral:lncRNA from 1 species